rnacentral:rRNA from 1 species
AGGGUGUAAACGCUGCAGACUUGGUGUUGGAAGUCCUUUGGGGGCAUUCAGUGCCGGAGAGAAGUUGUUAAGUCUGCUACUUGGGGAGUACGUCCGCAAGGAUGAAACUUAAAGGAAUUGGCGGGGGAGCACCGCAACGGGAGGAGCGUGCGGUUUAAUUGGAUUCAACACCGUAAACUCACCAGGGAAGACUGUUACAUGAAAGCCGAGAUGAAGACUCUGUUAGAUUUUCAGAGAGGUGGUGCAUGGCGUCAGUGACU